rnacentral:rRNA from 1 species
UUAAGCGACUAAGCGUACACGGUGGAUGCCCUGGCAGUCAGAGGCGAUGAAGGACGUGCUAAUCUGCGAUAAGCGUCGGUGAGGUGAUAUGAACCGUUAUAACCGGCGAUUUCCGAAUGGGGAAACCCAGUGUGUUUCGACACACUAUCAUUAACUGAAUCCAUAGGUUAAUGAGGCGAACCGGGGGAACUGAAACAUCUAAGUACCCCGAGGAAAAGAAAUCAACCGAGAUUCCCCCAGUAGCGGCGAGCGAACGGGGAGGAGCCCAGAGCCUGAAUCAGUGUGUGUGUUAGUGGAAGCGUCUGGAAAGGCGCGCGAUACAGGGUGACAGCCCCGUACACAAAAAUGCACAUAUUGUGAGCUCGAUGAGUAGGGCGGGACACGUGGUAUCCUGUCUGAAUAUGGGGGGACCAUCCUCCAAGGCUAAAUACUCCUGACUGACCGAUAGUGAACCAGUACCGUGAGGGAAAGGCGAAAAGAACCCCGGCGAGGGGAGUGAAAAAGAACCUGAAACCGUGUACGUACAAGCAGUGGGAGCCUCUUUAUGGGGUGACUGCGUACCUUUUGUAUAAUGGGUCAGCGACUUAUAUUCUGUAGCAAGGUUAACCGAAUAGGGGAGCCGAAGGGAAACCGAGUCUUAACUGGGCGUUAAGUUGCAGGGUAUAGACCCGAAACCCGGUGAUCUAGCCAUGGGCAGGUUGAAGGUUGGGUAACACUAACUGGAGGACCGAACCGACUAAUGUUGAAAAAUUAGCGGAUGACUUGUGGCUGGGGGUGAAAGGCCAAUCAAACCGGGAGAUAGCUGGUUCUCCCCGAAAGCUAUUUAGGUAGCGCCUCGUGAAUUCAUCUCCGGGGGUAGAGCACUGUUUCGGCAAGGGGGUCAUCCCGACUUACCAACCCGAUGCAAACUGCGAAUACCGGAGAAUGUUAUCACGGGAGACACACGGCGGGUGCUAACGUCCGUCGUGAAGAGGGAAACAACCCAGACCGCCAGCUAAGGUCCCAAAGUCAUGGUUAAGUGGGAAACGAUGUGGGAAGGCCCAGACAGCCAGGAUGUUGGCUUAGAAGCAGCCAUCAUUUAAAGAAAGCGUAAUAGCUCACUGGUCGAGUCGGCCUGCGCGGAAGAUGUAACGGGGCUAAACCAUGCACCGAAGCUGCGGCAGCGACACUAUGUGUUGUUGGGUAGGGGAGCGUUCUGUAAGCCUGUGAAGGUGGCCUGUGAGGGUUGCUGGAGGUAUCAGAAGUGCGAAUGCUGACAUAAGUAACGAUAAAGCGGGUGAAAAGCCCGCUCGCCGGAAGACCAAGGGUUCCUGUCCAACGUUAAUCGGGGCAGGGUGAGUCGACCCCUAAGGCGAGGCCGAAAGGCGUAGUCGAUGGGAAACAGGUUAAUAUUCCUGUACUUGGUGUUACUGCGAAGGGGGGACGGAGAAGGCUAUGUUGGCCGGGCGACGGUUGUCCCGGUUUAAGCGUGUAGGCUGGUUUUCCAGGCAAAUCCGGAAAACCAAGGCUGAGGCGUGAUGACGAGGCACUACGGUGCUGAAGCAACAAAUGCCCUGCUUCCAGGAAAAGCCUCUAAGCAUCAGGUAACAUCAAAUCGUACCCCAAACCGACACAGGUGGUCAGGUAGAGAAUACCAAGGCGCUUGAGAGAACUCGGGUGAAGGAACUAGGCAAAAUGGUGCCGUAACUUCGGGAGAAGGCACGCUGAUAUGUAGGUGAAGCGACUUGCUCGUGGAGCUGAAAUCAGUCGAAGAUACCAGCUGGCUGCAACUGUUUAUUAAAAACACAGCACUGUGCAAACACGAAAGUGGACGUAUACGGUGUGACGCCUGCCCGGUGCCGGAAGGUUAAUUGAUGGGGUUAGCGGUAACGCGAAGCUCUUGAUCGAAGCCCCGGUAAACGGCGGCCGUAACUAUAACGGUCCUAAGGUAGCGAAAUUCCUUGUCGGGUAAGUUCCGACCUGCACGAAUGGCGUAAUGAUGGCCAGGCUGUCUCCACCCGAGACUCAGUGAAAUUGAACUCGCUGUGAAGAUGCAGUGUACCCGCGGCAAGACGGAAAGACCCCGUGAACCUUUACUAUAGCUUGACACUGAACAUUGAGCCUUGAUGUGUAGGAUAGGUGGGAGGCUUUGAAGUGUGGACGCCAGUCUGCAUGGAGCCGACCUUGAAAUACCACCCUUUAAUGUUUGAUGUUCUAACGUUGGCCCGUAAUCCGGGUUGCGGACAGUGUCUGGUGGGUAGUUUGACUGGGGCGGUCUCCUCCUAAAGAGUAACGGAGGAGCACGAAGGUUGGCUAAUCCUGGUCGGACAUCAGGAGGUUAGUGCAAUGGCAUAAGCCAGCUUGACUGCGAGCGUGACGGCGCGAGCAGGUGCGAAAGCAGGUCAUAGUGAUCCGGUGGUUCUGAAUGGAAGGGCCAUCGCUCAACGGAUAAAAGGUACUCCGGGGAUAACAGGCUGAUACCGCCCAAGAGUUCAUAUCGACGGCGGUGUUUGGCACCUCGAUGUCGGCUCAUCACAUCCUGGGGCUGAAGUAGGUCCCAAGGGUAUGGCUGUUCGCCAUUUAAAGUGGUACGCGAGCUGGGUUUAGAACGUCGUGAGACAGUUCGGUCCCUAUCUGCCGUGGGCGCUGGAGAACUGAGGGGGGCUGCUCCUAGUACGAGAGGACCGGAGUGGACGCAUCACUGGUGUUCGGGUUGUCAUGCCAAUGGCACUGCCCGGUAGCUAAAUGCGGAAGAGAUAAGUGCUGAAAGCAUCUAAGCACGAAACUUGCCCCGAGAUGAGUUCUCCCUGACUCCUUGAGAGUCCUGAAGGAACGUUGAAGACGACGACGUUGAUAGGCCGGGUGUGUAAGCGCAGCGAUGCGUUGAGCUAACCGGUACUAAUGAACCGUGAGGCUUAACCUU